rnacentral:sRNA from 1 species
AUUUUCAUUUUUUUUUUCAUUUUUUUU